AAAAUAAUCCUACCCUUUGUGAAUUUUGUUUGUUUGAAUAAUUUUUUUUUUUUAAAAAAUUAUUGGAGUCUUUCCCUUUAGAGUUUGCUUUUGAGUUUGUAAAAGAAUUCGAAAACAUCUAAAGGGGAUGGUCAAUAAUUUUUUUUGAAAAAAGACAUUUUUUAAAAUUAAACUUUUUGUAUUCAUUUGUCUAAAAAUUAUUUUUAUAAUAUAAAAACAACUUUUGACAAUGGAUCUCUUGGUUCUCGCAACGAUGAAGAACGCAGCAAAAUGCGAUAAGUAGUGUGAAUUGCAGAAUACGUGAAUCAUCGAAUCUUUGAACGCAUAUUGCACUUUUUUAGUUUACUAAAAAAGUAUGUCUGUUUGAGUAUCAGUAAAAUAUUCUCAUAAAAUCAUUGUAUUUUUAUGGUUAUGAGUGUUUUACAACGAUACAAGUUGUUUCACUUUAAAUUUUUUUUAAUAUUGAAAUUUUUCUAAUUUUAAUAAUUAAAAUUGGAUAAAAUUUUCCAGUCAAAAGGAAUAACCUAAACAAUUUUAAACGAUUAAUUUUAGCAAAAUUUUCGUAAAAAAGGAAAAUUUUUAUUAAAAUAACUUGAUCUCAAAUCAGAUAAGAGUACCCGCUGAACUUAAGCAUAUCAAUAAGCGGAGGAAAAGAAACUAACAAGGAUUCCCUUAGUAACGGCGAGUGAAGCGGGAAGAGCUCAAAUUUGAAAUCUUCAAGGUUUUACCUUGACGAAUUGUAGUUUAAAGAAGUGUUUUCUGCUGAAGUUUUGGUAAAAGUUCUUUGGAAUAGGACAUCAUAGAGGGUGAGAAUCCCGUAUUUGACCAUUAUUUUCAGCUUUGUGAUACACUUUCAAAGAGUCGGAUUGUUUGGGAAUGCAGUCCAAAAUGGGUGGUAAAUUUCAUCUAAAGCUAAAUAUUGGCGAGAGACCGAUAGCGAACAAGUACCGUGAGGGAAAGAUGAAAAGAACUUUGAAAAGAGAGUUAAACAGUACGUGAAAUUGUCAAAAGGGAAGCGUUUGACACCAGUGUUGUUUUCUCGAAAAUCAAUUAAAAAUGGCUCGAUUUUGUAUUGCUGAGACCUUAAAAGCUCACUGUACAUUUUUCGUGUCUUUUUUAAUGCACUUUUCGUUUAACAAGUCAACAUCAGUUUCUUUUGUUGUAAAAGGGUCAUUGGAAGGUGGCUUUCUUUUCGGAGAAAGUGUUUAUAGCCUUUGGCCUCUGCAAUCGGAGAGACUGAGGUCUGCAGCGUAGACUCUUCGGGGUUAGAUACAUUUGUGCUGAGUUAUAGCUUUUUAUAGACAACUUGUUGACUAUAAUUAGUCUUGUAGCUUACUCGCUUAUGCUAUUUUACCUACGCUUAGGAUG
rnacentral:misc_RNA from 1 species